rnacentral:rRNA from 1 species
CCUACGGGAGGCUGCAGUGGGGAAGAUUGGGCAAUGGGCGCAAGCCUGACCCAGCAACGCCGCGUGAAGGAAGAAGGCUUUCGGGUUGUAAACUUCUUGUAAGAGGGAAGAGCAGAAGACGGGACCUCUGGAAUAAGCCACGGCUAACUACGGGCCAGCAGCCGCGGUAAUACGUAGGUGGCAAGCGUUGUCCGGAUUUACUGGGUGUAAAGGGCGUGUAGCCGGGCUGACAAGGCAGAUGUGAAAUCCCGUGGCUCAACCCCGGAACUGCAUUUGAAACUGUCGGUCUUGAGUAUCGGAGAGUCCGGCGGACUUCCUCUUGUAGCGGUGAACUUCGUAGAUAUUAGGAGGACCCCCAGUGGCG